rnacentral:rRNA from 1 species
GAUGAACGCUGGCGGCGUGUCUAAUGCAUGCAAGUCGAGCGAACGGACGAGAAGCUUGCUUCUCUGAUGUUAGCGGCGGACGGGUGAGUAACACGUGGAUAACCUACCUAUAAGACUGGGAUAACUUCGGGAAACCGGAGCUAAUACCGGAUGAUAUUUUGAACCGCAUGGUUCAAAAGUGAAAGACGGUCUUGCUGUCACUUAUAGAUGGAUCCGCGCUGCAUUAGCUAGUUGGUAAGGUAACGGCUUACCAAGGCAACGAUGCAUAGCCGACCUGAGAGGGUGAUCGGCCACACUGGAACUGAGACACGGUCCAGACUCCUACGGGAGGCAGCAGUAGGGAAUCUUCCGCAAAGGGCGAAAGCCUGACGGAGCAACGCCGCGUGAGUGAUGAAGGUCUUCGGAUCGUAAAACUCUGUUAUUAGGGAAGAACAUAUGUGUAAGUAACUGUGCACAUCUUGACGGUACCUAAUCAGAAAGCCACGGCUAACUACGUG